CUAAAAUGAAAAUCUCUGUGUGGUUGUAUAUAAAUAUUCUUGUUAUAGUAUUUCUUUACAACAAACAUAUAUUUAUCUCAGUGAGAUAUUGUGAAGAAGUUUGGAAUUAAGGAUGAGUGAGCCACCAAAGUAUGCACAUCCCUACCCUGCUCAAGGUUAUUAUCAAGGUCCUCCAGUGAUGCCUCCACCACCUCAAUAUUAUUAUGCAGCUCCUCCUCCAAGAAGGGAACCUGGCUUUCUUGAGGGAUGUCUGGCAGCUUUGUGUUGCUGUUUCCUGAUUGAUGAGUGUUGCUGUGACCCUUCUAUCCUCUUCAUCUGUUGAUAAACUAUUAUUAGAUCUCUCAGAAUGUUAGUCCUUGUUCGUUGCUUCAAAGUUGGUUGUCUCGUGUUUUUAUCAUAUUUGAGUUUUAAUUUUGUCUAAUAUAAAUCUCUCUUUUAUAUUUGGUUUUUUUUUUUAGAAGAAAAGUUUGAAUUUUUAUAAAUUAAAGAUCAUUCUUCUCAUAUCAUAAUAUAUGCAAUAUCAUUCAUUAGUCGAUUA